GAUGAAGAACGUAGUGAAAUGCGAUAAGUAAUGUGAAUUGCAGAAUUCAGUGAAUCAUCGAAUCUUUGAACGCACCUUGCGCCCUUUGGUAUUCCGAGGGGCAUGCCUGUUCGAGCGUCAUUAUAACCCCUCAAGCUCAGCUUGGUGUUGGGGCCUGCCGCACGGGCAGCCCUUAAAAUCAGUGGCGGUGCCAUCUGGCUCUAAGCGUAGUAAUUCUUCUCGCUAUAGAGUCCCGGUGGAUGCUUGCCAUUAACCCCCAAUUUUCUAUGGUUGACCUCGGAUCAGGUAGGGAUACCCGCUGAACUUAAGCAUAUCAGUAAGCGGAGGA
rnacentral:misc_RNA from 1 species